UACGUAGGGUGCAAGCGUUAAUCGGAAUUACUGGGCGUAGAGCGUGCGCAGGCGGCUUUGCAAGACAGAUGUGAAAUCCCCGGGCUCAACCUGGGACUGCAUUUGUGACUGCAUCGCUCGAGUGCGGCAGAGGGGGAGUGGAAUUCCAGGUGUAGCGGUGAAAUGCGUAGAUAUCUGGGGGAACGAUCAGUGGCGAAGGCGGCUUCCUGGACCAACACUGACGCUGAGGCGCGAAAGCGUGGGGAGCAAACAGGAUUAGAUACCC
rnacentral:rRNA from 1 species